ACUCUCUAUCUCAGUUCCAGAUCAGUUACCUAACAUGGUGGUCGCAUGGCGGGCGCGCGCCAUUUCGUAAACAUCGUCAUUAAAGUGACAGAAAAGUGGCAGAAAGAAGGGGAAAGGGUGGUCUUCAAG
ensembl:ncRNA ZC190.12 ncRNA